GCAGUUUAUUUACUUGCGAAACUGUUUCGUUACUACCAUGAUUUUUUUCCAAGAGCUGGUGAUAUAAAUGGCAAAUACUUCUCAUACUUUAAUUUUGCUUCAUCAUCAUUCAUUGAAUCUAGAUUUCUUCAUGAAGUGUAGAAUCUUUAAAUAUGUAUAAUUGUUUGUAUGUUUAUUUAAUUUUAGUGGGUCAAAGGUUAAUACUAUUCGAAUACACGUUUGUUGUAUUUCCGUAAUCGAUUGGCUUCGUAGGAGGAGUACAUAUAAAUACAUGGUCAAACUCGAGUUCAAUAUCCUUGAGUGCAAAUAAAUUAAAUGCCGUUUUGUGUCAUAAAAAAUCAAUCACAAUGGCCACGUGGAAAGUUGGGGGUAGAAGUGUAAAUGGCAUUAACUAAUGAAAGUAAAUAAGCUACGAUCUUGGAAAAGUGGGAUUUGUAAAAGUUAUGAAAAAAUACACAAUAAGGAAUCGCUUUAUCAUGCUCUGGAAAGAUCUUUUGAAGUUGAGAAAAAUUGACUCCUACUCCUGAGUCCUAAAGAAAUGGAAGGAAUUUUAAAGAUUUUCGCCGAUUGUACAAAUAUUAUGGUAAAUACAUUUAAUUAAUUGAGGGUCCCUGCACCCAAGGAGCUAUUCCACAAGAAGGAGAGAGUAGAACGGGAAAGGUAUUGACAGGAAUAUACAAGUAUCAGCCGGCUUCUAGUGUCAAUUUACGCUAGGCAUUGCAGGCUCAAGAAGCACCUGUUCAACACGCGCAUAGCCUCUUGUGCAAACUGCCUGUUUUGCGACAUGGAUGCAGUUUUGCAGAGCAAUUUGCAGGCGCAGCAACAAUCUCCAUGGAUUUAUAUAACCGAAUAAUAAUCACAUCGCCGCAAAACAACCCAACAGAAUCCAACAAUUCAUUAGAAGUCCGUUUGAAAUAACAGAGGGUACAAUCGACCUUAGGUCGCAGUGCAAACCUCAACUUAUAUCUAUUUUAUUAAUUAAGCUGACGGUGGAAAGAUAAUCUCUAUCUAAGUAUAUUCCAUAAAAAGUAGCGAAAGUAAAUGGAAUAACCGAUCAACGUCAAGUUAUUGUAAGAAAUAUUUUGUAUGUAUGUUAUAGCUUCAGUGCAAUCGGAGUUAACAUUAUUUCUUGUUUUUUUUUUCAAAAUUGUUCGUUUAAUUUUGUCAAAUACUGUACUUUCUGGCUACGCUGGACAUAACACAUGUCAGUUAAGAAAUAUUACUUUAAGUGUGAAAUAAAUAAUACAUAUGUGGACAAUCUUGAAAUUCUUGAAGCAGGAAAGAAGUCCAGCAAUAAAUGUAAA